GACGAACGCUGGCGGCGUGCUUAACACAUGCAAGUCGAACGGUAAGGCCCUUCGGGGUACACGAGUGGCGAACGGGUGAGUAACACGUGGGUGAUCUGCCCUGCACUCCGGGAUAAGCCUGGGAAAAUGGGUCUAAUACCGGAUAGGACCCUGGGAUGCAUGUCCUGGGGUGGACAGCUUUUGCGGUGUGGGAUGGGCCCGCGGCCUAUCAGCUUGUUGGUGGGGGGAUGGCCUACCAAGGCGACGACGGGUAGCCGGCCUGAGAGGGUGACCGGCCACACUGGGACUGAGAUACGGCCCAGACUCCUACGGGAGGCAGCAGUGGGGAAUAUUGCACAAUGGGCGCAAGCCUGAUGCAGCGACGCCGCGUGAGGGAUGACGGCCUUCGGGUUGUAAACCUCUUUCAGCACCGACGAAGCGCAAGUGACGGUAGGUGCAGAAGAAGGACCGGCCAACUACGUGCCAGCCGCCGCGGUAA
rnacentral:rRNA from 1 species